rnacentral:rRNA from 1 species
UACGGAGGGUGCGAGCGUUGUCCGGAAUCACUGGGCGUAAAGGGCGCGUAGGCGGCCUGGUAAGUAGGGGGUGAAAUCCUGCGGCUUAACCGCAGGGCUGCCUUCUAAACUGUCAGGCUCGAGCACGGUAGAGGCAGAUGGAAUUCCCGGUGUAGCGGUGGAAUGCGUAGAGAUCGGGAAGAACACCGGUGGCGAAGGCGGUCUGCUGGGGUAAUGCUGACACUGAUGCGCGACAGCGUGGGGAGCAAACAGG